AGCGAACGCUGGCGGCAGGCCUAACACAUGCAAGUCGAACGAACUCUUCGGAGUUAGUGGCGGACGGGUGAGUAACACGUGGGAACGUGCCUUUAGGUUCGGAAUAACUCAGGGAAACUUGUGCUAAUACCGAAUGUGCCCUUCGGGGGAAAGAUUUAUCGCCUUUAGAGCGGCCCGCGUCUGAUUAGCUAGUUGGUGAGGUAAAGGCUCACCAAGGCGACGAUCAGUAGCUGGUCUGAGAGGAUGAUCAGCCACAUUGGGACUGUGACACGGCCCAAACUCCUGCGGGAGACAGCAGUGGGGAAUCUUGCGCAAUGGGCGAAAGCCUGACGCAGCCAUGCCGCGUGAAUGAUGAAGGUCUUAGGAUUGUAAAAUUCUUUCACCGGGGACGAUAAUGACGGUACCCGGAGAAGAAGCCCCGGCUAACUUCGUGCCAGCAGCCGCCGUAA
rnacentral:rRNA from 1 species